CCUAGGGAGGCUGCAGUGGGGAAUAUUGGACAAUGGGCGAAAGCCUGAUCCAGCCAUGCCGCGUGUGUGAAGAAGGCCUUCGGGUUGUAAAGCACUUUCAGUGGGGAAGAAAGCCUUGGGGCUAAUACCCUCGAGGAAGGACAUCACCCACAGAAGAAGCACCGGCUAACUCCGUGCCAGCAGCCGCGGUAAUACGGAGGGUGCGAGCGUUAAUCGGAAUUACUGGGCGUAAAGCGCGCGUAGGCGGUCUGAUAAGCCGGUUGUGAAAGCCCCGGGCUCAACCUGGGAACGGCAUCCGGAACUGUCAGGCUAGAGUGCAGGAGAGGAAGGUAGAAUUCCCGGUGUAGCGGUGAAAUGCGUAGAGAUCGGGAGGAAUACCAGUGGCGAAGGCGGUCUUCUGGACUGACACUGACGCUGAGGUGCGAAAGCGUGGGUAGCAAACAGGAUUAGAUACCCUAGUAGUC
rnacentral:rRNA from 1 species